rnacentral:rRNA from 1 species
CCUACGGGUGGCAGCAGUGAGGAAUAUUGGUCAAUGGACGAGAGUCUGAACCAGCCAAGUAGCGUGAAGGAUGACUGCCCUAUGGGUUGUAAACUUCUUUUAUAUGGGAAUAAAACGUUCCACGUGUGGGAUUUUGUAUGUACCAUAUGAAUAAGGAUCGGCUAACUCCGUGCCAGCAGCCGCGGUAAUACGGAGGAUCCGAGCGUUCUCCGGAUUUAUUGGGUUUAAAGGGAGCGUAGGUGGAUUGUUAAGUCAGUUGUGAAAGUUUGCGGCUCAACCGUAAAAUUGCAGUUGAAACUGGCAGUCUUGAGUACAGUAGAGGUGGGCGGAAUGCGUGGUGUAGCGGUGAAAUGCUGAGAUAUCACGAAGAACUCCGAUUGCGAAGGCAGUUCACUGGACUGCAACUGACACUGAGGCUCGAAAGUGUGGGUAUCAAACAGGAUUAGAUACCCUUGUAGUC